CCCUUAGAUGUUCUGGGCCGCACGCGCGCUACACUGAUGAACGCAACGAGACCACCUGUACCGAAAGGCAUGGGUAAACUUGUGAAAGUUCAUCGUGAUGGGGAUAGAUUAUUGCAAUUAUUAAUCUUCAACGAGGAAUUCCUAGUAAGCGCGAGUCAUCAGCUCGCGUUGAUUACGUCCCUGCCCUUUGUACACACCGCCCGUCGCUCUUACCGAUUGAAUGGUCCGGUGAAAUCUUCGGAUUGCUGGAUAGGACUUCAUUGACCUAUCUGCGAGAAGUUGCUUGAACCUUAUCAUUUAGAGGAAGGAGAAGUCGUAACA
rnacentral:rRNA from 1 species